rnacentral:misc_RNA from 1 species
UACGGAGGAGGCAAGCGUUGUCCGGAAUUAUUGGGCGUAAAGCGCGCGCAGGCGGCCUCUUAAGUCUGCUGUGAAAGCCCCCGGCUCAACCGGGGAGGGCCAUUGGAAACUGGGGGGCUUGAGUAUAGUCGAGAAGAGCGGAAUUCCACGUGUAGCGGUGAAAUGCGUAGAGAUGAGGAGGAACACCAGUGGCGAAGGCGACUCUUUGGCCUAUAACUGACGCUGAGGCGCGAAAGCGUGGGGAGCAAACAGG